rnacentral:rRNA from 1 species
UCGAGGGGCAGCGGGUGGAGUAUUUCGGUACUCCUGCCGGCGACCGGCGCACGGGUGCGUAACGCGUAUGCAACCUACCUUUAACAGGGGGAUAAUCCGAAGAAAUUUGGUCUAAUACCCCAUAAUAUCAUUUAAGGCAUCUUAGAUGGUUGAAAAUUCCGAUGGUUAGAGAUGGGCAUGCGUUGUAUUAGCUAGUUGGUGAGGUAACGGCUCACCAAGGCUACGAUACAUAGGGGGACUGAGAGGUUGAACGGCCACAUUGGGACUGAGAUACGGCCCAGACUCC